rnacentral:lncRNA from 1 species
GACACUGUAGUCUGGAGACCUUUCUUUCAUUUUUUUUCUUUUAGUUGUCUACAAAAACUGUGUUAUUAUAACUGUGUUUUAUAGAGACGUGACUGCUUUCCUCAACUGACUGUAAGAGGAGUGAGGACCUGACACCUCAGAGGGAAGGAGAUCUCUGAAUUUCUCAUCAGUCUCCUGAUCUUACACUCCUUGAGAGGGCGAAAGACAACGGGAAACUUGGUUUUGCUUCGGUUCCCAGUAUUUGAAAUCCAGUGGGACCUUUUGGUACAAAAGCUCAAUUUGGACUGGAUGGGAACCCAGUAUACUAGUUUAAGUCACUGUUGGCUAAUACAGCUUGAAGCUGUUCUACAAUAAAGCACAACAUUCAGCUGUGAGCUUUAUCACUGGGACUCAUCUGACCUUUUCCAGGUCUCUGAGGGGAAGGACCAGGCCCGUCUUUGGCUUUUGACUCUGCAGACGGGUGGGUUUUUUUUGUGUUCCCUCUCCCAAUUUCCCUUUGCUUGCAGAACAGUUGCUUUCCCCGAAGCAGACAGGCAUGACCUGAAUACGUUGAAUGUUUGGCUGGAAAUAAUCUACUUAACAUAAAUAUUUCCAUCUAAAUUUUACCCUGGAUGGCUUCCUUAGUGUUCCCAGAGGACUGAGGGAAAAGUGGUUUUUCAGGGAUGAGGUGGUGAGGAUCUUGGUCACCUGCACUCACAAGCCCUUGUGGUGGAGGAACUGCCAAAAAAAUCUGAUUUUUUGCAUGAUGCUGGAGAGUUAUGCCUAUUUUCUGUGAUUACCAGGACAAAAAUGAUCUCUUAAAAAUAAAAAAGGGAAUAUUGGUGGUUAAAAUCA